rnacentral:rRNA from 1 species
AGGGCACCACCAGGAGUGGAGCCUGCGGCUUAAUUUGACUCAACACGGGAAAACUCACCCGGCCCGGACACUGGAAGGAUUGACAGAUUGAGAGCUCUUUCUUGAUUCAGUGGGUGGUGGUGCAUGGCCGUUCUUAGUUGGUGGAGUGAUUUGUCUGGUUAAUUCCGAUAACGAACGAGACUCUAGCCUACUAAAUAGACCGUCGGGUUAGAAACGCCGGCCAGACUUCUUAGAGGGACAGGCGGCGAUUCAACCGCACGAAACAGAGCAAUAACAGGUCUGUGAUGCCCUUAGAUGUCCGGGGCCGCACGCGCGCUACACUGAAGUGAUCAGCGUGCUUUUUCAAACGACUCUGGAAGACGGGGGAACCAAAUGAACGUUCUGCGUGGUUGGGAUAGGGGAUUGUAAUUAUGCCCCUAGAACCAGGAAUUCCCGAGUAAGCACGAUGGCAUAAGCUGACGGUCGAUUACCUUCCCUGCCCAUUGGUAAACGCUACUAGUCGCUACUACUAAAUUGUAG